AAUAAUGUUCUCUUUUUAGGUGCUUCUUUAAAUGGGAGAUAAUAGGGAAUCAGGUGAAAUUCCUGAACGGGUCCGCCACUGUAAAUCAGUAGGCCGAUUAAAACCACUCAUAAAAAUAAUUAUGGGGAAGGUAAGUCGGUAGAGCUGUAAAGUCAGGAGACCUGCCUGAAAAGACAACAGCCA
rnacentral:ncRNA from 2 species